GCAGAGGAUGAUAUUCAAGAAACUAAAGACAAGCAUAUGUCUGAAUUUUUAUUGAAGAAAAGUUUCCAACGUCUGAUGC